UUAGUGGCGGACGGGUGAGUAACGCGUGGAUAACCUGCCGUAUACAGGGGGAUAACACUUAGAAAUAGGUGCUAAUACCGCAUAAGCGCACGGUUCCGCAUGGAACAGUGUGAAAACUCCGGUGGUAUACGAUGGAUCCGCGUCUGAUUAGCCAGUUGGUGGGGUAACGGCCCACCAAAGCGACGAUCAGUAGCCGGCCUGAGAGGGUGAACGGCCACAUUGGGACUGAGACACGGCCCAAACUCCUACGGAAGGCAGCAG
rnacentral:rRNA from 1 species